AUUUCUCUUGCCUUUUCCAUUUCCCUUUCCCUUCUUUCCUUCAUCUUCUUCAGUCGAAGGCAGAUCUAGCGCCAACACUUCUCCUUGCCGUGAACGUUCAUCCGUCGGUCGUCGUGUCUCCCAACCGCGCUCAAUCUGAUCAUAGCAAAAUAAGAUAUUGGAAAGAUGGUUGAAAGGAAUAGCAUAGAUGAAGAGAUUUAAGAAGAAUGCAAGAAUGGGGAAUUUAGAAUGGAGGUUAUGGGUUUUAUAUAUGGAAUCUGAGCCCAUGAGUUUCAACCAACGCAAGCUCAAAGAUAUCGUUGAAGCCAUUGAAUCAUGAGAAGAAUUUGAUGUUGCCGAUGUCAGAUCCUCCUCACGGCAGUGAAGAGAAAGACCGAUUGAAUAGAGGUGAUAAGAAGCUCUUUAGAGGAUCCUCCAUGACCAAACGAGGAUCCUAUGCUGCUCUCUCUUACAUAGCUUGCAGUUGCGCGUAAUCAUAUAUGAAU